CUACGGGUCGCUCCAGUGGGGAAUAUUGCGCAAUGGGCGAAAGCCUGACGCAGCAAUGCCGCGUGGGUGAUGAAGGCUUUAGGGUCGUAAAGCCCUGUCAGAGGGGAAGAAAAAGUCAAGCAGGAAAUGGUUUGACCUUGACGGUACCCUCAAAGGAAGCACCGGCUAACUCCGUGCCAGCAGCCGCGGUAACACGGGGGGUGCGAGCGUUGUUCGGAAUCACUGGGCGUAAAGCGCGUGUAGGUGGAAUGUUAAGUCAGAUGUGAAAGCCCACGGCUCAACCGUGGAACUGCAUUUGAACUGGCAAUCUAGAGUGCGGGAGAGGGAAGGGGAAUUCCCGGUGUAGAGGUGAAAUUCGUAGAUAUCGGGAGGAAUACCGGUGGCGAAGGCGCCUUCCUGGACCGACACUGAUACUGAGACGCGAAAGCGUGGGUAGCAAACAGGAUUAGAUACCCCAGUAGUC
rnacentral:rRNA from 1 species